rnacentral:rRNA from 2 species
GAUGAACGCUGGAGGCCGUAUUUAAUACAUGCAAGUCGAGCGAACUGAUUAGAAGCUUGCUUCCAUGACGUUAGCGGCGGACGGGUGAGUAACACGUGGGCAACCUGCCUGUAAGACUGGGAUAACUUCGGGAAACCGAGGCUAAUACCGGAUAGGAUCUUCUCCUUCAUGGGAGAUGAUUGAAAGAUGGUUUCGGCUAUCACUUACAGAUGGGCCCGCGGUGCAUUAGCUAGUUGGUGAGGUAACGGCUCACCAAGGCAACGAUGCAUAGCCGACCUGAGAGGGUGAUCGGCCACACUGGGACUGAGACACGGCCCAGACUCCUACGGGAGGCAGCAGUAGGGAAUCUUCCGCAAUGGACGAAAGUCUGACGGAGCAACGCCGCGUGAGUGAUGAAGGCUUUCGGGUCGUAAAACUCUGUUGUUAGGGAAGAACAAGUAUGAGAGUAACUGCUUGUACCUUGACGGUACCUAACCAGAAAGCCACGGCUAACUACGUGCCAGCAGCCGCGGUAAUACGUAGGUGGCAAGCGUUAUCCGGAAUUAUUGGGCGUAAAGCGCGCGCAGGCGGUUUCUUAAGUCUGAUGUGAAAGCCCACGGCUCAACCGUGGAGGGUCAUUGGAAACUGGGGAACUUGAGUGCAGAAGAGAAAAGCGGAAUUCCACGUGUAGCGGUGAAAUGCGUAGAGAUGUGGAGGAACACCAGUGGCGAAGGCGGCUUUUUGGUCUGUAACUGACGCUGAGGCGCGAAAGCGUGGGGAGCAACCAGGAUUAGAUACCCUGGUAGUCCACGCCGUAAACGAUAGUGCUAACUGUUAAAGGGUUUCCGCCCUUUAGUG